GGCUUUAUAUUCUAAAUUUAAUUGAUAUUAGAUUGCAAAUCUGAAGGUGCUUUAAUAAUAAUAAGCUAAGGCUU
rnacentral:tRNA from 1 species